UUUUUUGCACCCCCCUCCUUUUAAUUAACUAAUGAAUGCCAAAAAGAUAAUUUGUCUUAUUAUUGCUGAAAAUUUAGGGAUCUUUUCCUGGAUCUUCACAUUCGCCUCCAGCUAUAGAAGAUGCAUCAGAAGCACAAGAAAAAUCUGGCGACUGGGAGAUAGAUGGAAGACUUCUGAAGAUAGGAGAAAAAAUAGCUUGUGGGUCUUGUGGAGAUCUGUAUCGUGGUAUCUACCUUGGGCAAGAUGUUGCCGUCAAAAUUCUUAGAUCUGAGCAUUUGAAUGAUACUCUUGAAGAUGAGUUUGCUCAAGAGGUGGCAGUCCGACGGGAGGUCCAGCACAGAAAUGUUGUUCCUCUCAAGUUGAAGUUCAGAGGUUAAGAAACCAGAUGGCUCAGAUGCAAGCGAGCACAGUUGAGCAAAUUGCUCAACUUAAAGCGGAGGCAGCAUCGAGAGAAGCUGAGGUUCAAAGAAAAUAUGAAGAACUCUAGCUACAACUUAAAGCGGAGGCAGUAGCGAGGGAAGCAGAGCAGAGCAGAAAGUAUGAUGCACUCUAGCUACAGCUUCAAAAUAUGAUGAAGAUGUUUCAGCAGUCGUAAAAUCCGCCAUCUUAGACAUUUGUUUUCUUAUUGUAACGCCCUAAAAUUUUAAUUUUGGGUAUUGUGAAUGUGUGAUACAAAUAUCUGUGUGCUUUAGUGGUUAUGUGUUUUGGGUGUGUUUGGUAGGUCCCAAGUUCAAGCCAGGACUUCGAUAAAUUUUGGUAUUUUUAUUGGCCAGUAAGCUUUUAGGUAAAAGUUGGCAAAAUAAUUAAUAGAAUGGGUUUGCUGGUUUGGUGGAUAA